UGGUGGUGUGUGCCUGUAGUCUUAGCUACUCGGGAGGCUGAGGGAGGAGACUGCAGUGAGUGGAGAUCACGCCACUG
ensembl:miRNA